AGUGAACGCUGGCGGCGUGCCUAAUACAUGCAAGUCGAACGGAGAUUAAGUAGCUUGCUAUUUAAUCUUAGUGGCGCACGGGUGAGUAAUAUAUAGCUAACUUGCCCAUUACUAAGGGACAACAGUUGGAAACGACUGCUAAUACCUUAUACUCCGUAUCUAUAUAAGUAGAUACGGGAAAGUUUUUCGGUAAUGGAUAGGGCUAUAUCGUAUCAGCCAGUUGGUAAGGUAAUGGCUUACCAAGGCUAUGACGCGUAACUGGUCUGAGAGGAUGAUCAGUCACACUGGAACUGAGACACGGUCCAGACUCCUACGGGAGGCAGCAGUAGGGAAUAUUGCUCAAUGGGGGAAACCCUGAAGCAGCAACGCCGCGUGGAGGAUGACACUUUUCGGAGCGUAAACUCCUUUUCUUGGGAAAGAAUUAUGACGGUACCCAAGGAAUAAGCACCGGCUAACUCCGUG
rnacentral:rRNA from 1 species